rnacentral:lncRNA from 1 species
GCACCGGGGCGGGGGCGGAGGGGUGGUGGGGGAGCGGUCGGGUGAGGGACGCGGUGGCGGCGGGGGAUUCUGGGAAGCCGGGAGGCCAGCUUCCAGGCGGGGGUUUUUCCCUCCCUCCGCACAUGUGUAAGAGCGGACCACCAGGAACUGCUUAACCCGGGAUUUGUCCUGUUUAGGCAUCGGGGAGAACGUGGUCGUUGUUGUUGAUAUCUUAAAGGAAAUGGCAAGUUACUUAAUUAUACGGUUCGGUCUCCCUUGCCAGGAGGGACCCCCUCUCCAAACCCGAAACUGUACACAUCCUGUUGCAGAAAUGUCCCCCCGACAUUCCUGGACGGGAAUGGCCCCGGUGGGCCUGGGGAGUGUGUGAGUUCCUCUGGACCGCCCUGGAGAGCCUUUCUCAAUGUUCUGCUCGCUUGAUUCCUGAAUUAGACUUUGAAAGCAGCGGAAGUUCCCAGACAGCCAGAGGGAGAAUGCCCCAAGAACCCACUGUGUAAUCCCGGCCAGGUUCUGGGCACGGGCUGCCUCCUGGGUCUCCCUGUGUCACAGAAAUGAAAGCUGGGGUGCCCCCUCUCAUGCCUCUGGUUUCCCCAUGUUCCCUGGUGUUGGAGGGGAAAAGCCCUUAGGGGUCACAAUCAGCCCCCGGUGCUGGUCCCAGGCCAGCCAUGGAGGGGGCGGGCAAGGGUGAUCCAAAAGGGGUCAGCAGUGUACAGGAGGAAGCUGCAGGCUUGUGUCUCCCAGGGCCCCCAGCCAGCCCCACUCUGGGCCAGGCAGUGUGAUGCAGCUUAGAGCUUUACCCGGAGGUGACAUCUGGACAGUGACAGAGUCCCAGAAGAUGUUGCUGACAAGGAUCAUGUCUGUCUUUUGCGAAGUUGCUUCUAUCAGCAGGGCCAGCCUGGAAGCUCCUCCUCGUGGCCAGUCUCUGGAGGUGUGCGUGCUAGGUAUGCCGAGCCUGGGAGUGGGCUGCAAACCCUUUCUUCCCCUGAGGUAGCAGAGAGUCUGGAUGGUGGAGGAGAGCCCAGAGGGCCGGCUCUAUGUUUGCACCUGAGAGAUCCCACCCCGUGCUCCUGCCCCACCUCCAGGCUGCUGGUGGGGACCAGGCCAAGAAGGAUGAUUUCCUAAGGUGGGUCCAG